UACGUAGGGGGCAAGCGUUGUCCGGAUUUAUUGGGCGUAAAGCGCUCGCAGGUGGUCCGUCGCGUCGUGCGUGAAAGACCCCGGCUCAACUGGGGAGGGUCGUGCGAUACGGGCGGACUGGAGGCCAGUAGGGGGAUGCGGAAUUCCGGGUGUAGUGGUGGAAUGCGUAGAGAUCCGGAGGAACACCAGCGGCGAAGGCAGCCCCCUGGGCUGACACUGACGCUCAGGCACGAAAGCGUGGGGAGCGAACAGG
rnacentral:rRNA from 1 species